rnacentral:rRNA from 1 species
AUUGAACGCUGGCGGCAGGCCUAACACAUGCAAGUCGAACGAGUGGCGGACGGGUGAGUAAUGUCUGGGAAACUGCCCGAUGGAGGGGGAUAACUACUGGAAACGGUAGCUAAUACCGCAUAACAUCAGAUGUGCCCAGAUGGGAUUAGCUUGUUGGUGGGUGAACGGCUCACCUAGGCGACGAUCCCUAGCUGGUCUGAGAGGAUGACCAGCCACACGGGAACGGAGACACGGUCCAUACUCCUACGGGAGGCAGCAGUGGGGAAUUUGGGACAAUGGGCGCAAGCCGGAUGAAGCCAUGCCGCGGGUAGGAAGAAGGCCUUCGGGGUGUAAAGUACUUUCAGCGGGGAGGCGUUACUCGCAGAAGAAGCACCGGCUAACUCCGUGCCAGCAGCCGCGGUAAUUC